rnacentral:rRNA from 1 species
CACGUAGGGUGCGAGCGUUGUCCGGAAUUAUUGGGCGUAAAGAGCUCGUAGGCGGUGUGUCGCGUCGGCCGUGAAAACCUGCAGCUUAACUGUGGGCUUGCGGUCGAUACGGGCAUCACUGGAGUUCGGCAGGGGAGACUGGAAUUCCUGGUGUAGCGGUGAAAUGCGCAGAUAUCAGGAGGAACACCGGUGGCGAAGGCGGUUCUCCUGGGCGAUGUCCU